rnacentral:rRNA from 1 species
GCGGCUUGUUGCGUCAGCUGUGAAAGCCCAUGGCUUAACUGUGGGUUGGCAGCUGAUACGGGCAGGCUAGAGUUCGGUAGGGGAGACUGGAAUUCCUGGUGUAGCGGUGAAAUGCGCAGAUAUCAGGAGGAACACCGGUGGCGAAGGCGGGUCUCUGGGCCGAUACUGACGCUGAGGAGCGAAAGCGUGGGGAGCGAACAGGAUUAGAUACCCUGGUAGUCCACGCUGUAAACGUUGGGCGCUAGGUGUGGGGGGCCUCUCCGGUUUCCUGUGCCGUAGCUAACGCAUUAAGCGCCCCGCCUGGGGAGUACGGCCGCAAGGCUAAAACUCAAAGGAAUUGACGGGGGCCCGCACAAGCGGCGGAGCAUGCGGAUUAAUUCGAUGCGGCGCGAAGAACCUUACCUGGGUUUGACAUGGCCGUUAAAGCCGCAGAGAUGUGGUGUCCUUCGGGGGCGGUCACAGGUGGUGCAUGGCUGUCGUCAGCUCGUGUCGUGGGAUGUUGGGUUAAGUCCCGCAACGAGCGCAACCCUUGUUCGAUGUUGCCAGCGG